rnacentral:lncRNA from 1 species
AAAAAAAGAUUAAAGGAAAACUAAGUAUUUAGCUUCCAAAUUCCCACUUCACAACAAGCAAUACCAUUGGCCAUUUCCUCAUCCUUAUAUUAUGUAAAAUUAUAACAGUUCAUUUAAUUCAAAGUUGUGUCGUCAAAGCACAGAAAGGUUGAGCUAGUUCAUUCUGAAAUUGGGGGUUCAAUACUGAUACACUUUCUGGCCCCCUUGGCAUCAACCCUUAAAUUUUCAUACACAAUCAAUUCUCUUGAAAACCAAGUUCUAAAACUACCNNNNN